AAUGUGUCAGAGGUGGAGGAGGCAGUGGAGGACAAUGCGGGGGAAGGAGUGGGAACAGAGGAAGAGCAGAGUUCAAGUGAAAAGGACAAUGAGGAACUUGUUGCUUUUUCUCAGUCAUCAUGUGAAGAGAUUCAUUCUCAGUCCUCUCUGGCAAAGACGACAGCUGCAUCUUCAACCGCAGCAUUUCCAUUUAACUUCAGCCCUGCCAGCUCCCCACAUAGAGGGACCUCCGAUACCAAAUCUCCAGCCUUCCUGUUCUCUCUGAACUCUGAUCCAAGCACCCCCAGCUUCUCUGGAUUUGGAUUUGACACGUCACAGGCUGAGGACACAAAUUUUGCUUUCGCUGGCUCUUUUUUCAACGAGAAGAAAACCACAGACACCAAGUCUUCAAGUGGCCCUGAGUUCUUGUUUGACCAGUCAGAGCAAGGUGAAGACUUUCAGUUUGCCUUCAACUUCAAGAGCCCUCAAGCAACAAACAGAGAUAAGAGCAGGGACGAUUUUCCAUUUUCAUUCAAAUUUUGAGAGUUAUAACAAAUA